UCGGAAGGAGGGUAUGUCUGCAGAUCGCAAGUCCGGGGCCUAACUUAAUAUUAAGUUACGCCCAUUGACGGUUUCCAUUAGUGUGGUGUUUUUGAUUAAGUGUAUGCGUUUAUGGAGGAAUAAUUACAGGGUCAAUGAUGAAGAUUUCGUGAUGAAGUAAAAGAGUGGACAGGAUAUUGCAUCAUCAAGAGGACCCCAACUGACCUUAACUGAUGAGUGAAAGUCACUGUGUUCCAGCUGGGUCAGUGGUGCUGCAGCUGAACAGGACCAGAGUGUGUCUAGGUCCGGCAUCUCCAUACUCGUCCAACUCAAGCCUCCAGUGGUCGUGUCCUCACAGAUGUGGUCCUGC
ensembl:lncRNA